ACAGCCUAAGGGCUGAACAUGCAGGAAGACAUCAACCCAGAUGCCCUUAGUAUUCAAGCCCCAAAGCGGGCUCGCUGCUACACCUGCCUGUGACGACGACGCAAAUUUCCCCUCUACUUGAUCAGGUAUGACCCAGUGGGGAAGAUACAAAGGACGGCCAGCGCGGGGGACUUGGCUUCAAUAGAACGGCUGAUCAACUGCCAAGGAUACCACGUGAAUGGCCAGUACACAAGGCGCAGACAUCACUCCAUUAUGCCUGUGCACAUAAUCAUCCAGACGUGGUAGAAUUGUUAGUAUCCCAAAGGCCUCUAUUGAUGUCCAGGAUGAUGAAAGCUGCACACCUUUGAUUAAGGCCACACAGAGGGGCAAUAUAGAAUGCAUAACUAUAUUACUGAUUCAGGGUGCUAAUUCCCACCUGAGGGAUUUAAGUGGGAAUACAGCCCUGAACCAUGCCGUUUCCAGAAACAACACAACAAUUGCCAGAAAACUGAUGGACUACAACGCAGAUAUUGAAGCAAAAACUGAGGUAAAGCCCGUUCAAUGUCAUCCCCAAUGUACUUCCAGCAAUGACGCUCAGAUCCACCUAUCACAUUCCAAAGCUC